rnacentral:rRNA from 1 species
UACGUAGGGUGCAAGCGUUGUCCGGAAUUACUGGGCGUAAAGCGCGUGUAGGCGGCGCGGUAAGUCAGGUGUGAAAGCCCUGGGCUCAACCUAGGAAGUGCACUUGAAACUACUGUGCUUGAGAUCUGGAGAGGAAGGCGGAAUUCUCGGUGUAGAGGUGAAAUUCGUAGAUAUCGAGAGGAACACCGGUGGCGAAGGCGGCCUUCUGGACAGCAUCUGACGCUGAGACGCGAAAGCGUGGGGAGCAAACAGG